ensembl:lncRNA novel transcript, antisense to CBLN1
CAGGGUUGGGCUCUCGCCGUGAGUCGACGAAGGGAGCGCGGGCGCGCGCCCGCGUCCGCGCACUGAGAGUCGCCUCGGCCGCUCGCUUUCUCGACUCCCGCCUCGCGCCUCGAUCCUGUUCCGCCUCCCUCGGCCCUCCUGCCCGCCCCCACUCGUCGGCCCUCAGGUUCCUGGAAAGUGAAAAUUUCAUUUCUUUGUGGACAGGUACCUAAAAUGUCUCAUUAUUCAUCAAUUAAUGAAAAACAAAUGAAAAUUUGAGAGAGAUAUUCUGAAGAAUAAAAGGAUCAAGUUGGGUCAUUUCUAAAAUGUAAGAUUAUAAGGUUUAACUUGCUAAGACUUUUGAGGGGUUGAAUUAUUGGUAAAUUAUUAUAGAACCACUUAUCUGAGGCUUUUAAAAGUGAUGUGUUACAGAGAUUUAGGGAACUGCAAGAUUGCAGAUAAAGAAUUUAUACUGUCAACUGUUCUAUACUUUACCUUCUGCUUUAAAUGCGGCCUUAUAUUUUGAAGUCAAACAUUUAUUUUCUCUCACUGCGUUCUGAAUUUCCUACCACAGUGCAUUUUGAGAAAUGAAUAUAACAGCAGUCUUCAUAGAUGCCAUAUUCAUGGCAACUCUGUCCCCCGCCAACACCACACCCUGGAAAAAAACCAACUUUCUAUUGUUGGAAUGAGGUAACAUUUUCAGGAAAAGGGAACCAUUUUCUCACAGGAUAUAGAACAAAUUCAACCUUUUAUUAAAUCAAAAUGGAUUCUCUAAUGUUUAUACAUAUCAUAUAGGAUUUCAUCUCUUUCAAUCUUGGUUCAAAGGCCCAGACAGUACCAUUCCCUAGUAUUUAGUCCAUUUGCUCAUAAAGCAGAAGAGAAAAGCUACUUUGUUCCGAAGGGUGUUAGAUUUAGGAUUCCAAGGUUAUUUCAAAUUAAUGCCUGGAACUAGACUAUAAAAUGCAGGAAAGAUUCUAAGUUGUUCAAAGAUGAAAUAUCUUAACUUUCACCAAAAACUCUGUCUUCUGGGUAUUUUUUGUUUUUCUGCCUUUCCAGAUUUAUUUUAAAUACAACAUUUUUGCUGUUUACAUUUUUAAAAGUUACAUUUCAAAAUUGUUCAUAAUUGGACACUUUCAUAAAAUGUAGGCAAAUGCAGUUUUACUUUUUAAUGAAGGACAAGUCUGUUGAUAACAUUUUGAUUCUUAAAAUUUUUUUUAUCUUAUAAAAAUGAAACAAUGCAUUUAAAGUGUCUUCAGCUCUUAUGUUAAUACCAAAUUAUACAUUUUCUUAGCCCAUGUUCAGGAGAGACAAUAUAUCUUCCAAAUUAAGAGAAGCUGGCACCAUUUUUAAAACAAGGCCUUGAAUCUGCUGUGGUAUGUGCUGGUAGGAAUUUUGUAUGAAGCUGUUAUUGAAGUAGAUGACAUUAAGGUCAAAGGAAAAAAAAAACAGAAAAUAAUGUAAUCCUACAGAGCUGCUCUUAAGAUCUUGAGAGAAAAACCACGUAGGUAACAUCAAACACUAGUUGGAAUCUUUCCAAGAAGUAAUUAUCUGUGUGCUGUUUGUGGUGGUUGAUUAUGGGAACAAACCAAGGUUUAGCCAAUUCAGCAAACAUUUAUGGAGUGCCUGCAAUGUGCAUGUCACUGUUUUAAGGCCUGUGCCUACUGUAAAGGUGACCCACACAUGAUGCCUGCCUUGCAGGACUUGGAGUUCAGCGAUAAUAAGAGAUGCAUACCUGAAAAGCCUAUUUAAGACUCUUCCGGUUCUACAAAGAAGGCUUCUUGAAAGUGGUAGCUUUGAUUACUCUUUGGAUUUAUUUACAUUUAUCCUAUAAUCAGAAGGUAUACAAAACAGACUCACACAUAUAUAAAAUUAAUAGAUUAGAUAGCAUUUAAACAAAUAUUUCAGGUAGGUACUUCAAAUGCAUUUGACAUUUAUCAAAGAAAUGGUAAGUGCUGUCAUCCGUGGGUGGCUGGAUUAACAUGUGGGACUACUUAUCACCAAUUUUGUUAGGGAUCUUAGGGAAAUUCCUGGAUCUUAUAUUCACAAGCAAUUGUAUAAAUACUUCCCACAGCUCAGAGACCUAAUAGGAUGGGGUCUUAGAGAAACAUCUUUUGAGCCACAGACUUCUUUGUUACCAGAAGGAAAAUGAAAGAAGAAAUUUAAAUACCACUUGAAGAGAGGUAAAUAAAUGAGAAAUGGGGCUGAGAGGGCGGGUAUUUUUUUAAAAAUUCAUUAAAUGGAAAAAUCCACAAAUGUUAAUUCUGGUAGAUUUCUUAGAAAUUACAUCAGAGGAGCAUGCUUGGUCUUCCCACCCUCAUUAGGCCUCAGUGACAGGUACUUGAACAACUGAGCCCCUAAUGUGCAUGCUCCCCCACCCCUGAAGCCAGUCUCUGCCCUCCUCUUCCCUCCUCUUGCCCCUGGAAGCUGAUCGCCACCAACUGGCCUCUGGGUGGAUUUGGCCAAUGGAAGCACCUGUAGAGGGAAGAGAGUGAGGUUAGGAUAUUUCUUCCUGCUGUCUCCGUGCUUCCCUGCAGAGAGUGUGAAGAAAUGACCCUGAAAAGCCUCUGGCAGAGGAUUCUUCUUUCAGGAUGGUGUCGCCUCCUCAGCAGCCCAUCCUCCUCCCCUGGACUCAAGCUCUCAUUCCAGUAACACUCCUUCCUCCUUCUCCAUCUUCAGGGGGAGGUUUGCCAGUCGGUGGGUUCUAAGCAUAUCUCGCUGAUUCCCCCCAACCCUGCCGACACCUCUGUAGGUCGUCCCUUCAUUAAAAUCUCUCCAUUUGAACUAUCUGAGUUUAAUUCCAUUUCCUCCUGGUAUCUCAGUGAUACACGGUAUCAGUACAAAAAUCUCGCUUCACCUUCAGAACCAACAGAUUUGAGACAUUUUAUCCUCUGUGGAACCAUUAGUUAUUUUGUCAUUGGUUGUAUCAGAAAAAAAAAUCAGGAAUGCAAAUCCUUCUUUAUUACAGAUUCAGAUUUGCAUAUUACCAAUGUUAUAUAUUUUAAACAAAACUAUUCAUCAUAAGUUUUAAAAAUUAACUACUGGAGUAGUUAAUGAAUCUGAAUGUAAUUAUGUAGCUUUCAUAAUAUUAAAGUAAAAAUACUAAAAGAAGUAUUUCUUAAAGAAGCAAAUGCUCAAUCUCCAAGUAAAUUUUAUUCUAUGCUCUUCCGGUAUAAGAAUAUGUUAAUAUCUUGAAAAAUAUCAUAUUAUUUUGUGAACUCAUAAAGCUAUUUUGAGUUUUUGUAAAAUGAAAACCUUACCAAAAUGUAUUUUAUUGUUGGAAAGCUUGACCGUUACUGCUGUUUAAUUUUUUGAGCUUGUAAACUUUAUUUGUGCAUGUUUUCAACAAAGAAGGAUUUUAUUGUUAUUACAUAAAACAGGUGAUUUCUAGAUUUUAAAAUCACAAAUUGAAAGCAAGGCACAAUAAUAUAUAUUUCAAGAUAUAGGUACUUAGGAGGCAUCCUUUUAGUCAUCUGUUCAAUGUAGCCAUCUAUUUUACACCUACUGUCUACUAUUGUUUGAGGUCCUUGCCAAAGUAUUGCAGGCUAGUUAGGAAACAUAAAACAAUUAGAAAGUAAUCUAUGACAAGUAAGCUAUCUAUAAAUGGCAAUGAAGGGUAGAACAAAUUCAAUGAAAAUAUCUAUUUAAUCCUAGUGUUUACUGGUCUAGAAGAAUAGGCUGAGUAAAUUAGUAUUUCUCUGGCUGUUGUGGUAACACAUUGCAUGCUAUAACAGUUUUAAGUAAUUACAGGUGCAUUGAAAUUUAUCUAUGGCUUUGUCAUCAUAUUCUAAAAUGUCAUGAGUACUUUUUUCUGACCUCAAUUACUAUGAAAUUGGUUUCCAAUAUUUAAUUAACCAAGAAUAUCAAGUCUAUAGGGUAUUAUUAAGGUGAGACUUCUGUAGCCUUUUCAAUAAAGACCAGAAUUUUGGAGUGCCUUGAACCUUAAUCAUUGAUCUUUAAUUCUUAUUAAGUCAACUGCCCACCUUUUAAAGACUGAGGCCCAGGAAGAGUAAGUUUCUCUGAGACAAUGCAUACAGUACAGUGCUUCUUGGGUAUUGGCUCUAAGACCAGAUGCAAAGAAAGGCUAAAAUCCCAUUUCAUUGUUCAUUAGGUGAGAACCCUUUGUUAAGCUGUGUAACCUCUGUGCAUAGUUUCCUCAUCAGCAAAGUCAGAAAAAGUAUGUACCUGAAGGACUGAUUGUAAGGCUGGGAUGAGAGAAUCCAUGUGAUCAGCCCUCACCAACAGGUGCUGCCCAGUUCAUGAGUGCUGCUGCUGUCCUGCCCAAGUACCCAGCUUGCAGAGUGCCAGAGUUAGAGUCCCAGGGGUGUUCUCCACAGCUGCAUGCUUGAUCCAGGCCUAUCAGGUGAGUUGGCUCUUGGCUAGUGGUUUUUCUUCUCUUGCUGUACAAAAGUCCAGACAGUAAUGUCUUUUUUUCAUUUUUAUAGAUAUAUUCCAUUGAAAGUCCUCAUUCUCAAAUUUAAAACAAAGACUUUUUGUGUACCUCAAUAGCAAUGCACACACAGUUGGCUUCACAAACAUAUUGUACAUUUCUUUUUUUCAUAUUUAUUCAACAAAUGUAUAUUGACUACCCACCGUGUGACAGGUGUUAUUUGUUGACGGAACCAGGCAUCAUCAGCAAACAAAACUGACAAAGCUUCCUGCCCUCUGUGGAAGGCAUCUGAGGAAGAGACUGGAUUUUGUAGCAACAUGUUAUUCUCAUUAUAAACUUUAUCAUUGGAAUACUAAAGCCAAAUCAUCCCCCAUCUCCUUGAUCAGGAUACCCACUUAAUCUAGGCAGCUACACAAUUGUGAGAGCCUUUGUUUUUUUCUGCUGAAACAUCCUUAAAAAGAUACCUCACAACCCAAGAUUUGGCUUUUCUUAAAUACGAUUUUUAAUUUUUUUCAUUUCUAUCUAGAGAUUUAAUUGGAAAUGGAAAAUCAUCAAUUUUCCAAUUAAAUGUCUGUUCCAAUCAACAUUAUACCUUUUAGGUUGUCAUUGUCAUUUUUAAGUUUAAGCAACUUUAAGGAUUUUGAAUCUGGCUGCCUGUAAAUUAAAGGUGAAAGUAAUCAUUGUGUUGGAUUGGAACAUUUUGUCAAUUGAGAGUGGUUUCCUUGUUCUUAGUGUAUGAAAAGUUUAUUUUUCUAAUGUAGAUUAAUAAAG